rnacentral:rRNA from 1 species
GAGGAAUAUUGGUCAAUGGACGCAAGUCUGAACCAGCCACGUCGCGUGAAGGAAGACGGCCCUACGGGUUGUAAACUUCUUUUAUACGGGAAUAAAGUGCCCCACGUGUGGGGUUUUGCAUGUACCGUAUGAAUAAGGAUCGGCUAACUCCGUGCCAGCAGCCGCGGUAAUACGUAGGUGGCGAGCGUUGUCCGGAAUUACUGGGUGUAAAGGGCGGGUAGGCGGGAAUGUAAGUCAGAUGUGAAAUCCCAGGGCUUAACUCUGGAGCUGCAUCUGAAACUAGGUUUCUUGAGUGUCGGAGAGGAAAGCGGAAUUCCUAGUGUAGCGGUGAAAUGCGUAGAUAUUAGGAGGAACACCAGUGGCGAAGGCGGCUUUCUGGACGAUAACUGACGCUGAGGCGCGAAAGCGUGGGGAGCAAACA